UACACACCGCCCGUCACACCACGAAAGCUGACUGCAACCGAAGUCGGUGAUGGAACCGAAAGGACCUAACCGCCGAAGUUGUGAUCAGUGAUUGGGGUG
rnacentral:rRNA from 1 species